UGCUAUAUGUCUCCUGGAAAUGUAAUGUAAGAAGAGUGGUCAACUUAGGUAAGACCAAAAAUAACAACCACACAAACUGGUUCAAGUUUUUUUUUUUUUUUUUUUUUUGGCAAUUAAGAAUGUUAAAAAUGCAGAUUUUGGCAGCAGGGGACGAUAUGGUGACUGAUAUUCAAGGCAUUUAUGAAGGUAAAGUUUGGGAUCAUUGCCAGUAUCCACUUUGAUGACGUGGUUGUUGACAGAUAUGGCUUAUCAUUUACUAUCUUACCAGCAGAUCACAAGGUAUUACGGUGGUCAAAAAUAAAAACAGCUAAGUGAGGGAAUAGGGAUUCCUGUUUCGCAGAGAGACACUGAGAUAUAUUUAUUGGACACAUAACGAUAUGUUAGCAACAGCACAGUGGUAUGUUUUAUUUUAGUUUUUAUAAUGAAAGUUACCAUGGAGUAGAAUAUUUGCUUUUGUAAUCUGUAAUAAGCAUGCUCAGGUACAAUUCCCAGAAAUGUACACCUCAGGGUAAUGUCUUAUUCCCUAAUCUAUUUUGCAGCAUAACAUAAAAGCUAGACUUGGAAAGAAAAUGUCAUGGUAAGCAAAAAAUAAAAAAUAAAAAAAUAAAUAUUUUACAGUCACAGAGGAUUUCUGGCUACAUGUUCUUGAAACCAGGAAUUUCCCAGUUUGGGAUCAAUAAAUACAUAUAUUUAUCUAUUGAAUUUAUUUAUCGAAAUCUAAACAGGUUCUCCAUCAGUCACUAUAAAGAUCCAAAAAAAGAUCCCAGGUGGAGCACCUAUAUUUUCCAACUACCUGUAAAUCUAUUAACCCUAGACCUAUAGAAGUCUCUACCAUCAAAUCUGGAGAUUUAGCUGUUUUCCAUAAUAAUUCUGGAGACUGUAAUCAUAACCACCAAUAACUGACAAUGUAUAUUUCGAUAUAGUUGGUAUUUGAGAUCUGUCCUCUAAUAAACAUGAAACAGGAGUUUGGAUUGUUAAAAAUGGAAAGGGUAAAUAAUCUGAUGACUGCACAUCAUCUCCAAGAUGGUAAGGUGAUACAGCCUGACAAAAAAUGGAAAGGCAUUUGCAAGUCUGGGCUCAUGUGUCAGUGUAAAUCCACAUCAGAGAGAUCAGAGAGUCUGAGAUGGUACGUCCAGUGUGAAGUUUUAUGUCUCCCUCACUGUAUAGUUUAGUCAGUAAUGGCUGAUUUCUUUGUCAACCUGCUGUCAACCUUCACCACUGCAGUUUAUGAGUGUAGCAACUGACUUAGCAUGUGUUACUUUGCCAAAAUACAUCGCCCAUGUUGUCAUUCCAUAUAUAUAUAUAUGCAUGUUCAAUUACAAACAUAGCUGUAUAUUCUUCCGAGGUGUGUAUGAUGACAGUCGUGAAACUGUCUAAAAUAUUUUUACUCUGGUAUUGUACAAGGCCAAGAUCACCGACUUUCUCAUCUGAUCACCUGCGUCACUGCCACAGACUGUAGUGGAGUGAACUAUCUUGUCGUUACUAAAAAUCUUUGCUUAACAUGGCGGGUCACUCAUCCGGGUCAACAAACCGGAAAAGGAGUGGAGUCCACUGAAGCGUGAUACAGGAACACGACAAAGAGCCCAAGGUGUUGACCUGGCCUCCGGAUUCCCCAGAUCCCAAUCUGACCCAGCAUCUGUGGGAUGAUCCAGAACAAGUCAGAUCCACGGAGGCCCCUUCCCACAACUCCACAGGUAUGAAGGGUACCUAUGCAAUAUUAGGCAGGUCCCAUAGAUACUGAAUCAGAUUGGGAUCAACAGCUUUGGCUCUUUGUCGUGUUCCUAGAGAAAUUUCUGAGCAGUUUUUAUGGUGUGGUGGGAACAUUAUCCUGCUGUGGGGGGCCCCUGACUUUGGGGAGUGUUGUUGCCAUUGGAGGGGUGUGUGCUUGGUUUCUGACAGUAUUUAGGUGGGUGGUAUGUGAAAAAUGAAUGUUCAAGUGAAUGUCAGGACCAAAGGUUCCUCAGCAGAACAUUGUAUUAUAAUGAGAUGAUCAAUGUUAUUCACGUCAUCCACCAGUGGUCAUAAUGUUAUGGCUGACUGGUGUAUAUACAUGAACCUUAUGGAUAAGCGAAUCAAAAAAAAAAAAAAAAAAAAAAAAUCAAAAUUAAACUCAGCAUGGAUUUCAUGUGAUAGUUACUCUGCAACUUGUUUCAACUCCACCUAAUAUACUUGCUGUAUUAAACCCAUUUGGCAAAAUAAACAUUUGUUUGAUAGAGUAAAUACUCAGUGUCAAAUGACAAGUGUUUAUUUAAAUUUUACAGUGUAAACAGAAUUCAACAGAUGGUUCAUAUUUUAUGAACUCUGUCAAAUGGCUUCAUUUUGAUGUGAUCUCUUACUCA